UACGAAGGGUGCAAGCGUUAAUCGGAAUUACUGGGCGUAAAGCGCGCGUAGGUGGUUCAGCAAGUUGGAUGUGAAAGCCCCCGGGCUCAACCUGGGAACUGCAUCCAAAACUACUGGGCUAGAGUAUGGUAGAGGGUGGUGGAAUUUCCUGUGUAGCGGUGAAAUGCGUAGAUAUAGGAAGGAACACCAGUGGCGAAGGCGACCACCUGGACUAAUACUGACACUGAGGUGCGAAAGUGUGGGGAGCAAACAGGAUUAGAUACCCGCGUAGU
rnacentral:rRNA from 1 species